AAUUUACACUCUCAGGACACAAUAGUACAAUAUAAUUAGUUUUUACUCUUUGUUCGAUUGAAUGAGAAAAAGUACUCGUCGCAAUGAUAUACUGUUAGGGCGUAACUGAGUAGUCUAUUUUUGUUCCGGUUUUGGUUCUUGUGAAGUUUGACAUCGAUUCGUUCCAAAUUUACACUCUCGGGGCAUAAUAGAACAAUAUAAUUAGUUUUUACUCUUUGUUCGACUGAAUGAGAAAAAGAACUCGUUGCAAAGUUAUACUGUUAGGGCGCAACAGAGUAGUCUACUUUUAUUCCGGUUUUGGUUCUUGUGUAGGUUGACAUCGAUUCGUUCUAAAUUUACACUCUCAGGGCAUAAUAGAACAAUAUAACACUACUACAAAAUCAUCAUUUAGCGUCAUUUACUCUGCAGCAUUUAUCUAAAUGAUGCUAAUUAAUAUAUUUAACGGCAUUACUUGAUAAUUGCCGCUAAAUUUAAUAGUUUAACAGCAUUUUACUAUUAAUGCUGCAAAAUAACAUAAAUUAGCAGCAUAAAUUAGUAAAUGCCGCUAAUGUUGCCGGCAUUUUCUAAAAAAUGAUGCUAAAUGCAAUAAAAUAGCAGCAUUUAUUGCUAAAUGCCGUCAUUAAACAAUAUAUAAUUAUUAAUAUAUCUCAUUUUCUACUUAACUUUAAAAUUUUUAAAUUAAAGUUUGAAAAUUUAGAAUUUGAAUUUUAAAAAUGUGAAACUUAUAAUUUAAAAACUUAGAACUUAUAAUCUAAAAUUUUAGAUUUUAAAUUUUAAAUUCUAAAAAUUUUAAUUUUAAUUUUUUACUUUUUUAAUUUUUUAAUUUUUUAAUAUUAUAUUAAACAAAAUUUAAA
rnacentral:lncRNA from 1 species